GACGAACGCUGGCGGCGUGCCUAAUACAUGCAAGUUGAGCGCUGAAGGUUGGUACUUGUACCAACUGGAUGAGCAGCGAACGGGUGAGUAACGCGUGGGGAAUCUGCCUUUGAGCGGGGGACAACAUUUGGAAACGAAUGCUAAUACCGCAUAAAAACUUUAAACACAAGUUUUAAGUUUGAAAGAUGCAAUUGCAUCACUCAAAGAUGAUCCCGCGUUGUAUUAGCUAGUUGGUGAGGUAAAGGCUCACCAAGGCGAUGAUACAUAGCCGACCUGAGAGGGUUAUCGGCCACAUUGGGACUGAGACACGGCCCAAACUCCUACGGGAGGCAGCAGUAGGGAAUCUUCGGCAAUGGACGAAAGUCUGACCGAGCAACGCCGCGUGAGUGAAGAAGGUUUUCGGAUCGUAAAACUCUGUUGGUAGAGAAGAACGUUGGUGAGGGUGGAAAGCUCAUCAAGUGACGGUAACUACCCAGAAAGGGACGGCUAACUACGUG
rnacentral:rRNA from 1 species